UACAUACUCCCUCCGUCCCAAAAUUCUUGUCUUAGAUUUGUCUAGAUACAGAUGUAUCAAGUCACGUUUUAGUAUUAGAUACAUCUGUAUCUAGACAAAUCUAAGACACGAAUUUUGGGAUGGAGGGAGUAUUAC
rnacentral:pre_miRNA from 1 species